UAACAGGUGGCUGGUGCAGGGACACCAAACUUCAGACUUCUGAUUGCCAACUAAGCCAUCUGUAAAGGGCAUGCCUACCACAGGCACACCCAGAGCCACCCCUGGGUGCUUGGCCAUAUGGCAUCACCAUUGGACUCUUGCUCUUUCUUCCCUGGUUCCCUUCUCUCUAGAUAGAUGUGCUCCCAAGAGAUCUCCCCAGUGAGUCCUGUCUGCCUCAUUGGCUCUCUUCUUAGCAUCCGGCCUGAGAUGGUGGGCGGAGGCAGACUCCGCCAUGGAAGCAAAAGCAGCCUCUCAUGGAAACAUCAGAAGCUGAAGACUGCUCCCAGUCGUAGGCAGAAUUGUUAAGUCAAGGGCUGGACCACUGAGAAGUAGUACCUUGAGUCCUGGCUGGAAACAUCUAGAUUCAACAGCUGAAGUCCCCUGAACUCCAAGGCCUGCAGAAGUGGCCCCCACCUCCCUGUUGGAGGUAUCAGUUCUUCCCAUGCCUGAAGAUGAUAUACAGGCUCUUGCAUACAGGACAACACGCCACCUGAGACCAUGCUUUCAUGAUUUCUUAGCCACCCACAAUGCAGGCAGAGAAGAGCUUGGCCUGCUAAGGGUAGAAAGAGGCUUCGCCAUGAAGGAUCUGAAGAGCUUGGACAACGAAUGCUGUAAACAGAAAGAGUCAUGUGCCGCAUAAAGUUGGUCAAUGUG